AUGAAUUAAAGUCAAAUGGGGACUCAAAAAGUAGCAUUUGAAACCCGCAUUCAACCAUAAAGAAAAAAACCAACAAACGUUACAUGUUGAAAUUACACUAUUAUUGUUAAUGGAGAGGACAAAUUAGCUUAGAUACAUUAACAAAUUCAUUCCAAACUUUCUUUCACCUAACCACUAACCACUUAAUGGCUUUAAUCACUCACUACGCACAUUUGCAUACACCGCCCUUGCAACUUUGAUUAAUUGGUUUGGUCAAUCACACAUAUACUUUGAUUAAUAAGAAAAUUCCUGUAUAUGAGUUAAUAUGAGCACUGCCGUGUUUAAGUGUUUAAGACUUUUUUAUUGGCUUUUUUUUUUCUUUCCAUAACUUAAUUCGAGCUUAAUACGAAAUUAAUGAGUUAAUGUUCAUCAUUGCUUAAAAAACACAAUUGUUAGCAUGAAUAAUAAUAAACAAAUUGGGCUUCCAGUCAUGAUCUUAGGGGGACCGAGAGGGGUGGUACUCUAUCAGUGGUAAGGCUCCCGCUCCCACUUGCGGUUGGGCGGAUAAGGUUAUGUAGUUAGACCGACGACUGAGUCCGCAUGUGUAAAAAAAAUUGCCUAAUCCCCAAUGACAUCGUUUUUCUCUCAAAAAUAAACAAACUGCAUUUACAAACACAAAUAAUACAAUUAUAAUGAGAAAACAACAUCAUUCAC
rnacentral:lncRNA from 1 species